rnacentral:misc_RNA from 1 species
UGGAAAAGUAACAGAAGAGACCCGCGCUCUUGCGGUCCGUCAGAUCAAAGCAACGCAGACAAUCCCCGCGCUACACGCCAACUUCGCGCGUAGUGGCGUCAGCGUAGGGUAAGAUCGCGAGUCAAGGUGCCGACACCUCACACUUUAGCCUCGCGAUUCGUAUUGCAGAAAAGUUUCCGCUCACACAUUUGCAGGCAUUUUUGCGAUGAUGUACUUUACAUUUUCCCCUGUUUCACUUUUUCUCGCUUACCAAACACAUCCUCAGUCACCAUAUUCUUUGUCCUUCUCUCUUUCUUAGCUGUGGUUUAUCUACUCCUCUCUCUCUCUCUCUCGUCUUUUAUUUGUGGGUAGGAUCGGAGCGAGGCGCAUUAUGAUGUUCAUUGUGUCUCUCAUGUCUUGCAUUUGAUUCUCUAAAUAGCUUUUACAAAAUUCUCUGUUCCAGAAUUCGGAGUUCUCAUCUUUGUGGGUUGAUGAUCCAUGCAUGGUGAGAUUUUGGUUACUAAGAGGUGAGGUGAGAGAGUGUUCUUGCUCCUGAUAGCUUCUCAUUUUUGCGAUGAUGGUAAUUUUUUUUAAUGCAGAUUUUUAGUUCUGUGUUCGGAAGUGUUUUAGUAAGUGGAAAUAAUGGACCACAAGACGUGGCUGUGGAGGAAGAAAUCUACGGAGAAGGUGAUUGUUGCAGCUGACAAAGUACACCUCUCUCCAAAUGAAAAUGAAGAGGAGAUACAGACUCUUUUGACUGAUAAGGCAGAACUGGAGAAAGAACUGAACUGUUUAAAUGAUAAGCUUUCUUCUGCCUUGUCCGAGUGUAAUGCUAAAGAUGAGCUUGUAAAGAAACAAGCAAAGAUGGUAGAGGAUGCCAUGGCAGGUUGGGAGAAGACAGAAGCCAAAGUAGUGACUCUAAAGCAAGAGUUAGAUGAAGCCAUGAAGCAGAGAGCUGCUGGAGAAGAAAGAUCAACUUACUUGGAUGCUGCCCUCAAGCAGUGUAUGCAACAGCUGCACUUUGUUCGAGAAGAGCAGGAGCAGAGGGUUCAUGAUGCUGUGAUGAAGGCAUCAGUGGAAUAUGAAAAGUCCCAAAUGAUUUUGGAGGAGAAGUUGGCAGAAACCAGUAAGAGGCUUGCAAAAGUAGGCAUUGAGAAUACUCAUCUAAGUAAGGAUCUCUUCGCAAAAGAAAGGUUGAUUGAAGAUCUAACUAAACAGAAGGUUCAGGUGGAGGCAGAUUUUAAUGCUCUAAUGAUUAGGUUAGAGUCUACGGAGAAAGAAAAUGCUUCACUGAAAUAUGAAGUCCGAGUUCUAGAGAAGGAGCUUGAGAUUCGGAAUGAGGAGAGAGAAUUUAAUCGUAGAACAGCUGAUGCAUCACAUAAGCAACACUUAGAGAGUGCGAAAAAAAUUGCGAAGUUAGAGUCGGAAUGUCAGAGGCUACGUCUGCUUGUUCGCAAGCGGUUGCCAGGCCCCGCUGCCUUGGCAAAGAUGAAAAGUGAAGUUGACACAUUGGGAAGGGAUUCAGUUGAAACGAGGAGGAGAAGAACAUAUUCUAGUCCUAAUGCUUUAAUUGUUGACGUUGCUAUUGACAACUCCCCAGACACUCCCAGCAAAAAGAUCAACUUUCUGACCGAGCAGUUAUGUGUCAUGGAAGAAGAAAACAAGGCUCUCAAAGAAGCCCUUAAUAGAAAAUCAAAUGAGCUUCAAAUUUCAAGAACCAUGUAUGCUAGCACAGCUUCCAAACUAUCACAGGUUGAGUCACAUCUUGAUGAAUUGUCAAAAGGCCAAUCAACCUUGGAGCCAUCAGGGAGUGGUCUUGCACCACAUGAGCUCUCUCUGGCCUUGACAUCUGAUGUUGGCAGUGAUGAUAAGGUUAGCUGUGCUGAAUCAUGGGCUUCUGCUUUGAUUUCAGAAUUGGAGCACUUCAAAUAUGGGAAACAAAGGGGUUCACCUUCAGUUAAAACUGUAGGAGGUUCAGACAUAAAUCUGAUGGAUGACUUUGUGGAAAUGGAAAAACUUGCAAUAGUCUCAGUUGAUAAGCAGUCAGGAAGUCCUCAUCUUCCAUUUGAUGACGCUAAUGCAACUGUUAACCCAUUGGAAAUUGGUUUGAAUGCGUAUCUCUCACAGAUAACUGGUAAAGAGAUUGUUCCAGUGUUGGACUCAAGCUCUAGGGUAUCAAACCAGGAAAUUAAUUCCAAGGAUUUACUGAUUGGUAAAUCUCCUGAUUGGCUUCAGGAUAUUCUGAAAGUGUUGCUGGAGCAAACUCGUACCACACAAAGAAAACCUGAUGAAAUACUGGAGGAUGUCAGAGUAGCUUUGGCAGGCAUAAGUAAUGGGAGCCUUGCAGGGUGUCUUGAUACGAGAGAAAGCUCAAAACAUCUUGAUGCAUCAAAUUUCUCUCAUGUUGGUGGUUGCAUCUCUCGGAAGCCUAUAGAUAAAUCUGUUCUGAUGGAUUCGUCUUGUGCAAAUAAUGAAAUUGAUGUCUUGGUGACAGGUGGGAGUGAUCAGCAGUUGCAGUCAGAUCUGGGCAAAUCAUUGCAUAAUAUAAUUGAGCAAGUUGAACGGAUCACUUUACCCACUUAUGGUAAUUCAAAUACUUUGUCUAGAAAGGAUGGGAGUUCCUUUCCAUAUAAGAAUACAGAAACAUCUUCAGGCUACAUGGUUCGAGUUUUGCAGUGGAAGACCUCUGAAUUGACUGCUGUAUUGCAGCAGUUUGUCCAUGCUUGUUAUGAUCUGUUGAAUAGAAAAUCUGAUGUGAACAUGUUUGCUCAAGAAUUAAAUUAUGCUCUGGACUGGAUUAUGAACCACUGCUUUUCCCUUCAAGAUGUUUCAAGCAUGAGGGAUGCAAUUAAGAAGCAAUUUGAUUGGGAUGAAUCCCGAAGUGAAAGUGAACUAGAGGUUGGUAUGAUUAGUCAAUUUUCAGAAGUGGAUAAAUUGUGCCUUUUCUGUGAUUUGUCUAUGGUUGCUACUUCAAAUGGGUUUCAUAACUGUUUUGAAAAGGAUGAAUUUCAAUAUACUGUUAGAGUUGAAAAUAAGAAAUUAAAAGAUGAACUGAUUGCCAUAGAAUCUUCAAAGAAAGACUUGGAAGGGAGGCUUCAAUCAGCUAUUGAUAAGAGUGAAUCCUUGAUGAAUCAACUUCAGGAAUCAGAGAAAACCAUCGCAAGCAUGCAAAAAGAAGUAGUAACUCUCAAAAUGUCCAAAACAAUGAUCGAAAAUCAAAGUGAAAAUCACAAGUCGCUGAAAAAAGAUCUAGAUACACAGCUUAAAGUGGCUAAGGCAGAGUUAAAUGAGGCUCACCAUAAGUUUUCUUCCUUGGAAGUGGAACAGGAGAACAAAAACAGCUGCUGUGAAGAAUUGGAGGCCACAUGUCUUGAGCUUCAGCUCCAACUUGAAAGUGUAACGGGGAAAGCAAUCCCUAGUCAUGAACUCCAUCAGGAAGAAAAGCAACUUCGAAACGAUUGGGAGAUAACAGCUGCAUCAGAAAAGUUGGCAGAGUGCCAAGAGACUAUUCGAAACCUAGGAAAGCAGUUAAAGGCAUUGGCUACACCUAGUGAAGCAGCCCAGUUUGACAAGGUCAUCUCUACUUCCAAUGAUACAAAUGCUGCCCCUGUCACCAUCUUGACAAGCACAGCCCGGAGCACACCCAAGGAUAAGAUCAUGAACCAUAGGUGCUCUCUUCUAGAUCAGAUGUUAGCAGAGGAUAAUGCUGCAACAAAGGAUAUUAAAUCUUCUAAAAUCAAAGAAAGUGACAACUAUAGUUCUGCCUUUGUUUCCAAUGGGGUUAUAGAACCUUUAGAAAAGAUCUUCAUUUUGAAUGGAGCUAAACACCAGGAUGAUGAUGUUGCAAUUAGUUCUUUGGCCAUUGUGCCUAGCAAUAAAAGGGGAGGUAUAAGUUUGUGGAGGAAGUUAUUUUGGAGAAAGAGGAAAUCCAACAGCAGGAAACCACCCCUUCCAUUAGCUCCAUAACAAAUCAUAAUAUAGAAUAUAAAGCUGGGGAUUGAUGCAACAAGGUCUGCCUUUCGUUAAUCUUUUGGGAGAGUUUUUGCAUAGUUAUUCCUUCUGUAUAUACAACUGCCGGAUAGACAAGUUUAUGUACCACAGGAAAAAAAAAUGACAUUCCGCUAUCGUGUGCAUAGCUAUCAUCUGUACCUGCUGUUCAUAGAAAACACAUUGCAAAGGUUAGUUUUCAUCAUUUGUGUGUCACGGCAUUUUCAUGUAAAGUCAUUUAUACCCAGUUCUGUACAUCUUUCUCCAGUAAUAUAUUUUCUGGAUGCAUAUCUAGUACCAGAUUCUUUGACUCCUUCAGGCACAUUCGGUUUGUAAGUUUAAAUCUUGGAUGAUCCUCAGACACGAUGACAGAAGAAUUGGAAAAUUUAUUAGUGCUCUCCAAACUUUAAUUUCUUAUGUAUUUAGAAGCUAAAUGGAGCUCAAAAAAUCAGUCACCGCAGAAUUUUACACAUUAGCAAAGAGGCUUGUAUAAUUUCCCUAGGAAAGAAAUGAAAAUAAAAAAAAUAAGAUUAUUCUUUCUCCA